UUACAAUGAGCAGAAAGGAGGUUUUUCCUCCUUUGCCAGAAAGGAGAGAAAGCACUAUCAAAAUCCUCCAAGUGCGGUGAUGGAGAAGACGAGAGCCUAGGGAAGACGCCUCAUGGAGACAUCGAUGGAGAGGACGAGGGCCUAAGGAAGACGCCUCACGGAGACAUCGCUCGUGCGGGCGCAGAGCCCCUCGCUCGUGUGUGCGGGCACAGCCGCCAGGCUCAUGGCACUGCCUGGGUCUCGGUGGCACUUCUGCAAUUAACCGAAGAAAUUUCAGUAAUUAAUGGAAGAACGCAGGAUCCUGGGAAAAGCACUGGAUUUUAACACAUGAUUGUGCUCAUACGCCGGUUAAUGAAGGCAGCCAUCUAUCACCCCGCCAGCAAAAGCAAGAAAAUUCAGGUAUUUUGAUGUUAAGUAAUCAUGUUUUCCAUCUACCUAAAAUAUUUGAGUAUUCAUGUCACGUCAUUUUACAUUUCAUAAGCACCACAGUGAGGAUUAGCUCAGAACUAGCUGAGCUAAUUGCUGAUUGCUCUGCAGAACGAUUAAAACUUUACUGGAUACAGUGGAAAUAUGCCAAGACUGGGCUUCACCUCUUGAAUUACAGGAAAGUUACUGAACAUCCGUUUCCAAGGAGUCUCACUCAGCAUCCAAAUAAGGCAAUACAUGAGGAAGAAAGCAUGUAAACAGUAGUAACAAUUCUUGAAACAAAUGGGGCAAAACUAACCACUUCUGUACCCUUCAGCUUAUUGCAUUUGUCAGGAGCAGUGUAUAAUUAUAAUGGAAAGAGAGGAGAAAUUUAUUAGCUUUCAAUUAAACCAUUCCUGGGAAAAAGCUAUUAUUUUUUUGAAGGAAAGCAAUCUGAAGAUGGGAAAAGAAUUCUUUGAAAAGUCAGGAUUUGCUUCUUGGAACUGAAAGAGUUGUUUGAACAACUCCCAUUAGAACAUACACUAUUUUUUCUUUAGAAGGAAAAACUCCAAUCUAUAAAACACUGAAAUUAAAUGUCUUAUAAGCUAGCACUUUAAUAAAGUGAGUGAGAAAUGAGA